UUAAGCGACUAAGCGUACACGGUGGAUGCCCUGGCAGUCAGAGGCGAUGAAGGACGUGCUAAUCUGCGAAAAGCGUCGGUAAGGUGAUAUGAACCGUUAUAACCGGCGAUGUCCGAAUGGGGAAACCCAGUGCAAUUCGUUGCACUAUCGUUAACUGAAUACAUAGGUUAACGAGGCGAACCGGGGGAACUGAAACAUCUAAGUACCCCGAGGAAAAGAAAUCAACCGAGAUUCCCCCAGUAGCGGCGAGCGAACGGGGAGCAGCCCAGAGUCUGAAUCAGCUUGUGUGUUAGUGGAACGGUCUGGAAAGUCCGACGGUACAGGGUGAUAGUCCCGUACACCAAAAUGCACAGGCUGUGAACUCGAAGAGUAGGGCGGGACACGUGGUAUCCUGUCUGAAUAUGGGGGGACCAUCCUCCAAGGCUAAAUACUCCUGACUGACCGAUAGUGAACCAGUACCGUGAGGGAAAGGCGAAAAGAACCCCGGCGAGGGGAGUGAAAAAGAACCUGAAACCGUGUACGUACAAGCAGUGGGAGCACCUUCGGGUGUGACUGCGUACCUUUUGUAUAAUGGGUCAGCGACUUAUAUUCUGUAGCAAGGUUAACCGUAUAGGGGAGCCGCAGGGAAACCGAGUCUUAACUGGGCGUUAAGUUGCAGGGUAUAGACCCGAAACCCGGUGAUCUAGCCAUGGGCAGGUUGAAGGUUGGGUAACACUAACUGGAGGACCGAACCGACUAAUGUUGAAAAAUUAGCGGAUGACUUGUGGCUGGGGGUGAAAGGCCAAUCAAACCGGGAGAUAGCUGGUUCUCCCCGAAAGCUAUUUAGGUAGCGCCUCGUGAAUUCAUCUUCGGGGGUAGAGCACUGUUUCGGCUAGGGGGUCAUCCCGACUUACCAACCCGAUGCAAACUACGAAUACCGAAGAAUGUUAUCACGGGAGACACACGGCGGGUGCUAACGUCCGUCGUGAAGAGGGAAACAACCCAGACCGCCAGCUAAGGUCCCAAAGUCAUGGUUAAGUGGGAAACGAUGUGGGAAGGCACAGACAGCCAGGAUGUUGGCUUAGAAGCAGCCAUCAUUUAAAGAAAGCGUAAUAGCUCACUGGUCGAGUCGGCCUGCGCGGAAGAUGUAACGGGGCUAAACCAUGCACCGAAGCUGCGGCAGCGACACUAUGUGUUGUUGGGUAGGGGAGCGUUCUGUAAGCCUGCGAAGGUGACCUGUGAGGGUUGCUGGAGGUAUCAGAAGUGCGAAUGCUGACAUAAGUAACGAUAAAGCGGGUGAAAAGCCCGCUCGCCGGAAGACCAAGGGUUCCUGUCCAACGUUAAUCGGGGCAGGGUGAGUCGACCCCUAAGGCGAGGCCGAAAGGCGUAGUCGAUGGGAAACAGGUUAAUAUUCCUGUACUUGGUGUUACUGCGAAGGGGGGACGGAGAAGGCUAUGUUAGCCGGGCGACGGUUGUCCCGGUUUAAGCAUGUAGGCUGGUUGUCCAGGCAAAUCCGGAUAAUCAAGGCUGAGGUGUGAUGACGAGGCACUACGGUGCUGAAGUAACAAAUGCCCUGCUUCCAGGAAAAGCCUCUAAGCAUCAGGUAACAUUAAAUCGUACCCCAAACCGACACAGGUGGUCAGGUAGAGAAUACCAAGGCGCUUGAGAGAACUCGGGUGAAGGAACUAGGCAAAAUGGUGCCGUAACUUCGGGAGAAGGCACGCUGGUGUGUAGGUGAAGUCCCUGCGGAUGGAGCUGAGACCAGUCGAAGAUACCAGCUGGCUGCAACUGUUUAUUAAAAACACAGCACUGUGCAAACACGAAAGUGGACGUAUACGGUGUGACGCCUGCCCGGUGCCGGAAGGUUAAUUGAUGGGGUUAUCCGUAAGGAGAAGCUCUUGAUCGAAGCCCCGGUAAACGGCGGCCGUAACUAUAACGGUCCUAAGGUAGCGAAAUUCCUUGUCGGGUAAGUUCCGACCUGCACGAAUGGCGUAAUGAUGGCCAGGCUGUCUCCACCCGAGACUCAGUGAAAUUGAACUCGCUGUGAAGAUGCAGUGUACCCGCGGCAAGACGGAAAGACCCCGUGAACCUUUACUAUAGCUUGACACUGAACAUUGAGCCUUGAUGUGUAGGAUAGGUGGGAGGCUUUGAAGCGUGGACGCCAGUCUGCGUGGAGCCAACCUUGAAAUACCACCCUUUAAUGUUUGAUGUUCUAACGUUGGCCCCUGACCGGGGUUGCGGACAGUGUCUGGUGGGUAGUUUGACUGGGGCGGUCUCCUCCCAAAGCGUAACGGAGGAGCACGAAGGUUAGCUAAUCCUGGUCGGACAUCAGGAGGUUAGUGCAAUGGCAUAAGCUAGCUUGACUGCGAGCGUGACGGCGCGAGCAGGUGCGAAAGCAGGUCAUAGUGAUCCGGUGGUUCUGAAUGGAAGGGCCAUCGCUCAACGGAUAAAAGGUACUCCGGGGAUAACAGGCUGAUACCGCCCAAGAGUUCAUAUCGACGGCGGUGUUUGGCACCUCGAUGUCGGCUCAUCACAUCCUGGGGCUGAAGUAGGUCCCAAGGGUAUGGCUGUUCGCCAUUUAAAGUGGUACGCGAGCUGGGUUUAGAACGUCGUGAGACAGUUCGGUCCCUAUCUGCCGUGGGCGCUGGAGAAUUGAGGGGGGCUGCUCCUAGUACGAGAGGACCGGAGUGGACGCAUCACUGGUGUUCGGGUUGUCAUGCCAAUGGCACUGCCCGGUAGCUAAAUGCGGAAGAGAUAAGUGCUGAAAGCAUCUAAGCACGAAACUUGCCCCGAGAUGAGUUCUCCCUGAGACUUUAAGUCUCCUGAAGGAACGUUAAAGACGAUGACGUUGAUAGGCCGGGUGUGUAAGCGCAGCGAUGCGUUGAGCUAACCGGUACUAAUGAACCGUGAGGCUUAACCUU
rnacentral:rRNA from 1 species